rnacentral:lncRNA from 1 species
UGACAAUUUAUCAAUAAUGCUACUCUUAUUGACAUCUUUAGGAGUUGAGUAGCUGCCAACCAUCCCCUUCUUCAAUGAGAGAGCAUGUUUGACAGCAUUUUAAAAUUGUUGACGUGGGAAGGAAAAAGCGUGAAAAAAGAGGGAAAAGCAGGAACACUAAUUGCUGGUAUUUCUUUUCACCCAAAACCGCUCAUUAUCUCUACGCAUUCGUCCCCAAAUCUGAGUGGCCACAAACGACGCGACUUCAAAUUUUUCGGCGACGACGAACAAUCAUCGUUACACCACCAGACCCCCUCCGACAGCAAUAGACACCACCGAACUACUUCCUUCGUGUUGGGUAAGUAAAAAAAUAGAGCAGACUUGUAGAAUUAAUUACAGAUAUUUAUGAAUUGAUACUUUAUAAUAUUGUUAGGCUUUUGAAUUUUGAAUUCUACAUUGGUUGCAAAAUUUCAAUGCUGGAAAGGUGAUAGUCGAUGCUUUUUAUUUUAUUUUUUUCAAUCUAUGAUUGAAGACGAUUUCUAAAUUGUGUUUCCCCUUUAGUUGUUUUUUCAAAUGCAACAAGGUUCUUAUCUUCCAUUUGUUCGUCAAUGUUCAUUGGGACAUGCUUGGUAUGUAUUCGAAGAAAAAAAAAAACAGGUAUGUUGUUUUUCG